GUCCACGCCGUAAACGAUGGGCACUAGGUGUGGGUCUCUAACCAACGAGAUCCGCGCCGUCGCUAACGCAUUAAGUGCCCCGCCUGGGGAGUACGGUCGCAAGACUAAAACUCAAAGGAAUUGACGGGGGCCCGCACAAGCAGCGGAGCGUGUUGCUUAAUUCGAUGCUACGCGAAGAACCUUACCAAGGCUUGACAUAUACAGGAAUAUGGCAGAGAUGUCAUAGCCGCAAGGUCUGUAUACAGGUGGUGCAUGGUUGUCGU
rnacentral:rRNA from 1 species